UUUAUUAUUAUUAUUAUUAAUUUCGCAACCUAUUAUCUAAAUUGUGUGUUCAUGAAGGCCUGUAACGUACUGCAGCUUCCUGCAGGCAACGUGAAACAUUGCUGAGGGAGAACUUUAUUCACAACAAAAGGAUAAAGAUGAAGAGGCGGGACUUGAGCAGCUUGUGAUGGCUGUAAUUGUAAAGAAUGGAUCUUCUAGGAGUGGAAGCCCAAAGGAUGCUGGAAUUGUUAUUGAGGCCUUAAAGGUGUUCACAGGGCAUGCUUUAUCCUUGGAUCUAUGCAUUGAAUCUCCAGUAUCCCAGGCAUCUUUUCAGGUGUUUCAGAAACUUUUCUUGGAGCUGGAUUCUUCAAAGUUUAUGAACUGAUUACAGUACAGUAAGUCUAAACUGCUGUCUGAUUUUCUGGGUGUGAAUCAAUGUAACAGAACACACAAACAUGGAACCUUGUGGACGGGAAAUGUGGACGGUUUUCUUUAAAGACUGUAAAAUACUUUUUGAAGUUUACACUGUUACAAAUACAUCAUUAAAAUGAGAUGCUUUCCUGUUCUUUUGACUGCAAUAAAAUAAGAAUUGAUUCA